rnacentral:misc_RNA from 1 species
GAACAGAUACAAUAAUCAAAGGUAUGUUAAGAUUCUACGUGCCGAAAUAUGAUCAUACAACGGAAAAGUGCAUCAAAAUUCACCAAUGGGGCUAACAAUUAAAAGUCCACCGCAAGUUCAGUACCAAAUUUUACACUCAAACCUUGCCUUAACUGAUGCUAAGUGGCCUAGCCCAUAUUGGGUGGUGGUGGCGGCGGCUGUCGGAUACCCUGACCUGGGAAGCCCUGUGGGGGAGGUGGCAUGGGAGGUCGAUUCAUCUGAGUACCAGGAGUGAAAUUCGCCAUUGUGUUAUUACCAACUGGAGGUGGCGGAGGGAUGGGCGGAGCCCCACCAGGAGGCAUUGGCCUAGGAGGACCAUUGGCCAUUACAGAAGGGGGAGGUGGCAAGGACCCAGGCAUCGGAGGGGGAGGGACUCUUGGUGGUGCUCCUUGCUGUGGUGGAGGUGGUGGCGGUGGUGGAGCUUGUGGUGGCGGCGGCAAUGGCCUUGGUGGUGCAGCAGAUGGCAUUGUUCCGUUGGCUGCAGGCACAGGUGGUGGCUUGUUUGCCUCUUGUGGCUUGGAUUUGAAAUACAAUUGCAGCGUGAACAUUUUUGAGUCCGGAUCCCAGUGUGAGAAGAAUUUUGGAGUCGAUUUGUCAAUCUCUGUGCUUGGAACCUUGAAUGCAAUUAUCUCAUAUGGUUCAGCUGCAAACAGAAGAUAUUGGUAUCUUUUGUCAAAAGGUUGCACACGCUGUUCGUAAGAGGACAUAAAACGAUGCCUAGGCUUUGCUAGGUCUUCAAUUUCAGGAUAUUCAAUCUGAAAAAGGAGAGAUCUCUGCUUUGUCUCAGAAUCAAAUUGCUUUGUAACUCGAUAACCAGGCCUUCCAAUUUUAACUGUUUUGCGAACAGAGACCUUCCGCUUGUGGGGUUGAGGUUGAGCAGGAGCCUCCUUGGCUUCACGGGCAGCCCUCUUAGCCAAAUUAGUCUGAUGCCGCUUCCCCUGCGUGUGCGCCAAGUAAUUACCCUCAUUGUUGUGCAGAGUCAAGCAAAGCUUACACUCAUAACUUCCAAGAUGAUUCCGCAUAAA